rnacentral:rRNA from 1 species
UACGAGUGGUGCAAGCGUUAUUCGGAAUUAUUGGGCGUACAGGGUGCGCAGGCGGUGUAUUAAGUCAACUGUUAAAGGCCUUAGCUUAACUAAGGGAUUGCGGUAGAUACUGAUACGCUAGAGGAUGGAAGAGAGAAGUGGAAUUCUUGGAGUAGCGGUAAAAUGCGUAGAUCUCAAGAGGAACACCGAUGGCGAAGGCAGCUCACUGGGACGGUACUGACGCUGAGACGCGAAAGCGUGGGGAGCAAACAGG